CAGAGGUCACAAACGCAGCCCCAAAGGACUGUAUUUCCCGGGCUGUUGGGAUUGGACUUUCAGAUUUCUAGAACAGCCCUUCCUGUGUUAUGUCUGCAGUCUGUGGGAUCUGGUAAGAGACUCGCUUGGAAGUUCAAAGGGCCCCGAACUUUGUAAACGGCCUCACGGAGCAGCCCUUGAUGAGUCUUCAGCCAGACGUGAGGCAGGAAUCCCGGCUGCACAUCUGGGGGCCGCGGGCGAGUGACUUCACUUCCCCUUAGCUGUGCAAGGGGGACGGGCACAGUGCUGGCCUCUGGGCAGGGGCAGAUGACACAGUGCAUUAAGGACUGCACACAGGGUCUGUGCUCAGCUGACUGAGCUGCGGCGGUCGUUAUCACCGAAAGAAGAUGAAGGAAGGAUACCAAAGCAACAACAAAUAAAUGAGAAAACAACAACUUAUAAAUGAGAGAGAAGUGGCCAGGCACAUAGUUUUUGAAAAAAAGGAUGGUGUACGCCCCACAUCGCACAAUCAGGAGGCUGAGGCAGGAGGAUUGAUGCGAGUUCACCCUGAACUACAUGGUGAGACCCUGUCCCCAAAAAAGAAAAAAGAAAGAAAGAAAAGAGGCAGAAACAUUAUUUCAUGCGAGGCGCCAACAUUGGCAGCUUAUACGCGACCAGCCUUUGGUCAUUCCUCAGGCCUCACCCUGAUGUCUCCACUUCAGUCCUCCGUGAGGCAGCUCAGCCGGGAAGAGCGGCCAGGCAGACCUUAGGGGUCGGGCAGCGGUGUGAUUCCGGCGCCCCGCCAAGUCCGUCCCAUAUGGCCAGAUCCGGAACUGGGGGAGAGGGCACCGUGGGCGGGAUGGGGGCGGCGGCGCAGCCCAGGACCGAGUCGCUCCCAGGACCUUAGACAUUGUUUAUCCCCAGACGGCCCCGCGGAAGUUAAGCCAUCCGCGCACACAGCGGCUGGGUUCCCGGAACGGAGCAGCCAGGCCCGACGAGGCGGUGCGCUCCUGCGGCGGUGCGCGCCUGUGGCUCCUUUCCUGGAGCCCAGGAGCUGGAGAUAAGCCUGAGUAACCAACAUAGCGAGACUGUUUCUAAAAGGGAUCGAACUCAGUUCCUUGCACUUGCAAGGAAGGCGGAGG